CCAACUCAGGUGGGUGGGAUGAACAAUCCAAGGCGCUCGAGAGAUUCACUCUGGCCAAGGAACUCGGCAAAAUAACCCCGUAACUUCGGAAGAAGGGGUGCUCUCUAGGGUGACAUGUUUAACAUAUGAAGCCCCGGGGAGCCGCAGUGAAUUGGUGGUGGCGACUGUUUACUAAAAACAUAGGUCUGUGCGAAGUCCUAAAGACGACGUAUACGGACUGACGCCUGCCCGGUGCUGGAAGGUUAAAAGGAGGGGUCAGCGCAAGCAAAGCUCCGAAUUGAAGCCCCAGUAAACGGCGGCCGUAACUAUAACGGUCCUAAGGUAGCGAAAUUCCUUGUCGGGUAAGUUCCGACCUGCACGAAUGGCGUAACGAUCUCCACACUGUCUCGGCCAGAGACUCGGUGAAAUUGCAGUCGCGGUGAAAAUUCCGUGUACCCGCAGAAAGACGGAAAGACCCUGUGCACCUUUACUAUAGCUUGACAUUGGAUUUUGGGCCUGCAUGUGUAGGAUAGGUGGGAGGCUGUGAACCCUGUACGCCAGUAUGGGGGGAGCCAUCCUUGAAAUACCACCCUUGCAUGUUUAAGAUCCUAACUUCUUCCGGUUAUCCCGGAGAAAGACAGUGUCUGGCGGGUAGUUUGACUGGGGCGGUCGCCUCCUAAAGUGUAACGGAGGCAUGCAAAGGUUCCCUCAGCCUGAUCGGAAACCAGGCGCUGAGUGCAAACGCAUAAGGGAGCUUGACUGUAAGAGAGACAUCUCGAACAGGAACGAAAGUUGGCGUUAGUGAUCCGGUGGUCCCGAAUGGAAGGGCCAUCGCUCAUUGGAUAAAAGGUACGCCGGGGAUAACAGGCUGAUCGCAUCCAAGAGUUCACAUCGACGAUGCGGUUUGGCACCUCGAUGUCGGCUCAUCACAUCCUGGGGCUGAAGCAGGUCCCAAGGGUACGGCUGUUCGCCGUUUAAAGUGGUACGCGAGCUGGGUUUAAAACGUCGUGAGACAGUUUGGUCCCUAUCUUCUGUGGGCGAAGGAGAAUUGAGAGGGCCUGUCCCUAGUACGAGAGGACCGGGAUGGACGCACCCCUGGUGAUCCUGUUGUCGCGCCAGCGGCAUAGCAGGGUAGCUAUGUGCGGAAGGGAUAACCGCUGAAAGCAUCUAAGCGGGAAGCCUGCCUCAAGAUAAGUUCUCCCCUCGAAAGAGCUGAAGGGCCCGGGUAGACUACCCGGUCGAUAGGCUGGAGGUGUAAGCGCGGCGACGUGCUCAGCUGACCAGUACUAAUAGCCCGAGCGGCUUAUUUUU
rnacentral:rRNA from 1 species